AUUGAACGCUGGCGGCAUGCUUACCCCUGGAAAUUGGAACGGCAGGGAAGAAAAAGCUUCCUUCUUCGGCCGGCGGGUGCCGGACGGGGGAGUACAACAUAGGAAUUUGCCUCCGGGUGGGGGAUAAUUUGGGGAAACUCAGGCAAUAACCGAUAAACCCUUACGGGGAAAAGGGUGGAAAGGAAAGCCCACGUGCCGAAAAGAAGACCAAUGCCGGAUUAGCUAGUUGGUAGGGUAAAGGCCUACCAAGGCAAUGAUCCGUAGCUGGUCUGAGAGGACGACCAGCCACACUGGGACUGAGACACGGCCCAGACUCCUACGGGAGGCAGCAGUGGGGAAUAUUGGACAAUGGGCGCAAGCCUGAUCCAGCAAUGCCGCGUGUGUGAAGAAGGCCUGCGGGUUGUAAAGCACUUUAGUGGGGGAGGAAGGCAUUAGUUUUAAUAAAACUGAUGAUUGACGUUACCCCAAGAAUAAGCACCGGCUAACUCUGUGCCAGCCGCCGCGGUAA
rnacentral:rRNA from 1 species